rnacentral:rRNA from 1 species
CGAACGCUGGCGGCGUGCCUAAUACAUGCAAGUAGAACGCUGAAGGAAGGAGCUUGCUCUUUCUGGAUGAGUUGCGAACGGGUGAGUAACGCGUAGGUAACCUGCCUGGUAGCGGGGGAUAACUAUUGGAAACGAUAGCUAAUACCGCAUAAAAUUGAUUAUUGCAUGAUAGUCAAUUAAAAGGUGCAACUGCACCACUACCAGAUGGACCUGCGUUGUAUUAGCUAGUUGGUGGGGUAACGGCUCACCAAGGCGACGAUACAUAGCCGACCUGAGAGGGGGAUCGGCCACACUGGGACUGAGACACGGCCCAGACUCCUACGGGAGGCAGCAGUAGGGAAUCUUCGGCAAUGGACGGAAGUCUGACCGAGCAACGCCGCGUGAGUGAAGAAGGUUUUCGGAUCGUAAAGCUCUGUUGUAAGAGAAGAACGAGUGUGAGAGUGGAAAGUUCACACUGUGACGGUAUCUUACCAGAAAGGGACGGCUAACUACGUG